CCUACGGGAGGCAGCAGUGGGGCAUAUUGGGCAAUGGGCGCAAGCCUGACCCAGCAACGCCGCGUGAAGGAAGAAGGCUUUCGGGUUGUAAACUUCUUUUGUCAGGGAAGAGUAGAAGACGGUACCUCUUGAUUAAGCCACGGCUAACUACGUGCCAGCAGCCGCGGUAAUACGUAGGUGGCAAGCGUUGUCCGGAUUUACUGGGUGUAAAGGGCGUGUAGCCGGGCUGACAAGUCAGAUGUGAAAUCCCGUGGCUCAACCACGAAACUGCAUUUGAAACUGUCGGUCUUGAGUAUCGGAGAGGCAGGCGGAAUUCCUGGUGUAGCGGUGAAAUGCGUAGAUAUUAGGAGGAACACCAAUGGCGAAGGCGGCCUGCUGGACGACAACUGACGGUGAGGCGCGAAAGCGUGGGGAGCAAACAGGAUUAGAUACCCGAGUAGUC
rnacentral:rRNA from 1 species